rnacentral:rRNA from 1 species
CCUACGGGAGGCAGCAGUGGGGAAUAUUGGGCCAUGGGCGAAAGCCUGACCCAGCAACGCCGCGUGAAGGAAGAAGGCUUUCGGGUUGUAAACUUCUUUUGACAGGGAAGAGCAGAAGACGGUACCUGUCGAAUAAGCCACGGCUAACUACGUGCCAGCAGCCGCGGUAAUACGUAGGUGGCAAGCGUUGUCCGGAUUUACUGGGGGUAAAGGGCGUGUAGCCGGGCUGACAAGUCAGAUGUGAAAUCCGGGGGCUCAACCCCCGAACUGCAUUUGAAACUGUUGGUCUUGAGUAUCGGAGAGGCAGGCGGAAUUCCUAGUGUAGCGGUGAAAUGCGUAGAUAUUAGGAGGAACACCAGUGGCGAAGGCGGCCUGCUGGACGACAACUGACGGUAAGGCGCGAAAGCGUGGGGAGCAAACAGGAUUAGAUACCCUUGUAGUC